rnacentral:lncRNA from 1 species
GUCUGGUUGGAGUCGAGGCCCAAGACGCGGCCAGCCGCGGAGACGCCCACCGGGUAGGGGGCCGCCCCAUCCGCACGGGAGUGAGGUCGGCCGUGCUGAGCGAGAGUCCAGACAGCACCGAGCCUCGGUUCUCCUCAGCGGGACCAUGACUCUGUUCUAGAAUUUCCUUCUUGCAGCGGCCAGAACACCUCCGAACCCUCGGAUCUCCAGCAGAAUCUCCAGGAAUUGGCAGAUGCGACAGAUUAGGGGUUUGCAUCCUCUGAAGAGCUGUCUACACGUCCAGCAGCCCACCCCCCAGACUCAGCCCACCUCAAGGCAUCUGAUUCUGCGGCCAGCGCCGGCGAAUGCUCUUCUCUCCACAUUGCAUCUCAGAAGGACGGUUCUCCUGGGAGGAGGCGUCCACGCCAGCUGCACCCAGGGGCACUGGAAGGAGAGCGAUGCUUGCACCUCUGUCCCCGAAAACAGGACGCAGCGAUCGUUUACAAGCUCGGCGCUCUCUCUCCAAGACGUCAGCCAGGAGCUGUUGGAUCCACGGUGAACACUCUCGGUUCCCGCAGCAAACGCAGCGAGGCAUCCCGCUCCGGCCGCCAUUUGGAGAAGUCUGGCCUUGUUUCUGCAGUUGAUGGCUGAAGGCUUGAAAAUGGCUUGUCUAUCCAACUGCCCUUCCGAUGGUUCCACGUGGGGGUCUCGAAAGCAUCUCAGACUCAACGUGGCCGACUGAGCUCCUGCUCUUCCCUCAAACCUGCUCCUCCUGCGGUUUCACUAAACGGAGGCUCCAUCCUUCCAGGUGCUCAGGUCAAAAUGUUGGCUUGUCCCUGAGUUUUCUCUUCCUCUCUCAGCCCCACAUCCCUCCAUUGGCAGUCUUGUCGACUCUGUCUCGCUCACUCCGUUCCAGCCACCCGGGCCUCCUCACGCUGUUCCUCUAAUAUGCCAGCCACAGUCCUGCCCCAGGGCCUUUGCACGAUCUGUUUUCACUGCCACAACUCUUCCCCGACACAUCCAAAGGCAGA